AAUGCUAUGCCGGAUAAUCGGGCUAUCUUGAUGUGGUAGACUAUGUAGGUAUUAACCCUUCUGGCAUUA
rnacentral:tRNA from 1 species